rnacentral:rRNA from 1 species
GGGGAAUAUUGCACAAUGGGCGCAAGCCUGAUGCAGCAACGCCGCGUGAGGGAUGACGGCCUUCGGGUUGUAAACCUCUUUUAGCAGGGAAGAAGCGAAAGUGACGGUACCUGCAGAAAAAGCGCCGGCUAACUACGUGCCAGCAGCCGCGGUAAUACGUAGGGCGCAAGCGUUAUCCGGAAUUAUUGGGCGUAAAGAGCUCGUAGGCGGUUUGUCGCGUCUGCUGUGAAAUCCGGAGGCUCAACCUCCGGCCUGCAGUGGGUACGGGCAGACUAGAGUGCGGUAGGGGAGAUUGGAAUUCCUGGUGUAGCGGUGGAAUGCGCAGAUAUCAGGAGGAACACCGAUGGCGAAGGCAGAUCUCUGGGCCGUAACUGACGCUGAGGAGCGAAAGGGUGGGGAGCAAACAGGCUUAGAUACCCUGGUAGUCCACCCCGUAAACGUUGGGAACUAGUUGUGGGGUCCAUUCCACGGAUUCCGUGACGCAGCUAACGCAUUAAGUUCCCCGCCUGGGGAGUACGGCCGCAAGGCUAAAACUCAAAGGAAUUGACGGGGACCCGCACAAGCGGCGGAGCAUGCGGAUUAAUUCGAUGCAACGCGAAGAACCUUACCAAGGCUUGACAUAUACGAGAACGGGCCAGAAAUGGUCAACUCUUUGGACACUCGUAAACAGGUGGUGCAUGGUUGUCGUCAGCUCGUGUCGUGAGA